rnacentral:rRNA from 1 species
AGAAUCAACGCUGGCGGCGUGCCUAACACAUGCAAGUCGCACGAGAAAGGGUAGCAAUACCUGAGUAAAGUGGCGCACGGGUGAGUAACACGUGACUAAUCUACCCUCGAGUGGGGAAUAAACUGAGAGAAAUCUUAGCUAAUACCGCAUAACACUUACGAGUCAAAGCAGCAAUGCGCUUGGGGAGGAGGUCGCGGCCGAUUAGCUAGUUGGCGGGGUAAUGGCCCACCAAGGCGAUGAUCGGUA